rnacentral:rRNA from 1 species
AUUGAACGCUGGCGGCAGGCCUAACACAUGCAAGUCGAACGAGUGGCGGACGGGUGAGUAAUGUCUGGGAAACUGCCUGAUGGAGGGGGAUCAAUACUGGAAACGGUAGCUAAUACAGCAUACCAUCAGAUGUGCCCAGAUGGGAUUAGCUGGUUGGUGGGGUAACGGCGCACCAAGGCGACGAUCCCUAGCUGUUCUGAGAGGAUGACCCGCCACAAUGGAACUGAUACACGCUCCAGACUACGACGUGAGUCAGCAGUUGGGAAUCUUGCACAAUGGGCGCAAGCCUUAUUCAGCCAUGCCGCGUGUAUGAAGAAGGCCUUCGGGUUGUAAAGUACUUUCAGCGGGGAGGCGUUACCCGCAGAAGAAGCACCUGCUAACUCCGUGCCAGCAGCCGCGUUAAUUC